UACAGAGGGUGCGAGCGUUGUUCGGAAUUACUGGGCGUAAAGCGCGCGCAGGCGGCCCUUUAAGUCUACCCGUGAAAUGCCGGAGCUCAACUCCGUGCACGCCGGGGGGAUACUGGGGGGCUGGAGACAGGUAGAGGCAAGCGGAAUUCCGGGUGUAGCGGUGGAAUGCGUAGAUAUCCGGAAGAACACCUGAGGCGAAGGCGGCUUGCUGGGCCUGAUCUGACGCUGAGGCGCGAAAGCGUGGGGAGCAAACAGGG
rnacentral:rRNA from 1 species